CUAUUUAUCGAAGUUGAUCCUGUGGUGAUGCAUACCACCAGCAUUACCACGACCUCCAGGAUGCUUCCUGUGCUUACCUGAGGAGUGGAGAAACACAUGUUAAACCAGUACGUGUAUGACAGAGUGACUUAUUACUACUCAUCUACUGAAUCCACCUGUAAGGCAGGUACAUUAACUCACCGAUGCGACCAUGUCCAUGGCUGACAUGUCCACGGAGCUUCCUCGUCUUGGUCAACCUGGUGGGCUGUAAACAGAAGAUUCAUGUUUGUUAGAAUGGCUUCAAAGCUAUGGUUGCAGAUGGAGCUAGCUGCUAGCUGCAUGCUAACUCAGUCAACUGUCCCUGUAGUAAAGAUUUAAGGACAGCUACAUUAAUAUUAACAGCCUGGAAUUACCUGGUCACAUAAGACAGGUAACAGCAUCACAUGGUUCAGGGGGCUGAGCUCUCCACCAAUCAAAUCAUGAAGAUUCCCCCUGAUACUGGACACAUGAAACAGCUUCAUCUCUCUCUUCUCUGCUCUGCUCACACUCACCUGGAGACACACUCACCUGGCUUUCUGAAGCAGACUUCGUGUUUGUCGUCGUUUACAGGAGCAUUGAGGCCCAGAUCUCCUGGAGAUGGCACACCAGCCUUACAGAUGUCAUGGAAACUUUCCCCAAAGGCGGGCCACACUGUUUCCACAGGUAUCCAGGUGUAGAGUGAAGAGGGCACUGGAGGCUGAUUCAUCUGAGACCGCUUCAAAUGGAGCAACGAGAGCAGAGGGGCCAAGCCUCCAGCUCUGCAGCUCUGGAUCCCAUGAGAUGGAAAAACAGUUGAAUGGGUCGUCCAACAGAAACAUCAGAGAAGCCUCUCCUUCACCAGAAAAACGACAAAGACAAACUGGAAAAGAUGUUGCAGCUCUAUUAAGAAGA